UCAAGAUGGCGGCAGGUUUGAGCAUUUUAAUUUAAACACUUUUUAGAAGAUUUUCGUUAAAUUUAGCAAACUCGCGAUCACUUUCCAGGAUCAAGUUAAAGGAAUACUUACAGAUAAAAUGGAAGAUUCAGACAACGAAGUCGAAGAGUUUUCUAUCACUGAUUAUGAUUUACAAAAUGAGUUUUUCCCUGGGAUGAAACGUCGAAAAAUGACUAAAGAACAAGCAAUGCUGGGUAUCUGGGCAAGUAGAGACUCUGAUGAUGAUGAUGUAGGAGACAAGAAGAGAAAAGCAAACUAUAGUAUGCCAAUGCAAUUUAUUAGUGGUGGUAUUGUAAAAACCAAGGAUAAAGAUGCUUUGGGUGA